rnacentral:rRNA from 1 species
UACGUAGGCAGCAAGCGUUGUUCGGAGUUACUGGGCGUAAAGGGUGUGUAGGCGGUUAUUUAAGUUUGGUGUGAAAUCUCCCCGGCUCAACCGGGAGGGUGCGCCGAAUACUGAAUGACUUGGAGUGCGGGAGAGGAAAGUGGAAUUCCUGGUGUAGCGGUGAAAUGCGUAGAUAUCAGGAAGAACACCGGUGGUGUAGACGGCUUUCUGGACCGUAACUGACGCUGAGGAGCGAAAGCGUGGGGAGCGAACAGG